CUUCUCUGAUUGGUUGAUGUGGCGCGUCGAGCAGGAAAAGUUCAAUUUUGCCAACUCCAGCAGCUGCUGAUUCUGAAGCGCAUCAUGCGCGUCAGAUGCUCAGAAGCUCGUGAGGUGCUGCUUUAGCUGUGCAGACCUUUUGUUGUGCCUUGAUGCACAUCAACCAUAGACUUUGCGUGUAAACUAGCUGCUUCUGCUGCUUCUGCAGCGUGCGUUCUGAACAAAGCAUAACAGUUUCCUCUUGGGUUGUAAAUUCAUACUAGUACAUUUUUGGAUUCCUACUUGUCUUCUGGCAAAGCUGUAACUUUUUUCAUUUGUGUUCAGAAUUAUUACAUGCGAAACAUCUGAUGUUACUGUACAUGCAUGUAUGAGUUGACAACAAGCAACCAAAAAGGUAAAUCAACAAGUUGACAAACAACCAAAACAAAUCAGAUUUAGUUAUGUAUGACUGCAUCACAUUUAUAUGUUUAUGCCUACAUUUUUACUGACAGUUAUUUUACCCCACAGGGUUUGACCCAAUAUUUGGCCAAAAAAAGAAAAAGAAAAAAAACUUCUGUAAAAGUAGCAGUAACUCAGCAGAGUUUUGGAUUGUAAGGAGAAGGGAGCUGCAUUUCCUUGUAUGUAAUAUGGGGAUCAAUAACGGAGAUCUGUGCCUGCAGCUCUGUAAGGUAAAAAACGUACUGGCCUGGCUUUCUGGCACAUGCACAUACAGCAACUACACUAAAAUUAGAUAUUAGCAGGUUUAUGGACAAUGCUGUCAUCAGAGAGGAAGGAAUAAUAGUUAAACUUUCCAAUGAAGAUGAUACUCUUAUCCAAAACGUUUUUUUUAAAUAAACCUUUACUUUAGGAUGAGUACUAAAAGAAUACUGAACUAGUUUGCAUGUUAAAUUACAUCCCAUCCUUAAAACUUGAUUUAAAAAAAUACAGAACUGUACAAUAAAAUGCAGUUUUCUGAUGGUUUCUUCACUGCUUUGCAAAAAAAAAAAAUGUGCCUGGACCUUUAAAAACUAGCUACAAGCAAUAUAUUCUAAUGGGGUAUUUGGGGCUCUUUAGGAAGAUAUACUUUGUGUAUGUCCGUAUUCCACGUGGUUCAUGAAAAUGACACAAAAAAACAAACAGCACAAAAAAAGACAAUUCAUAUGAACCCGUCUGUGGCGGUUGCUGCAUGUAUGACACCACGUCCCUACUAUAACCACCAGCUUUGACCAGCAACAGCUCUGUUUGUUAUUUAUUCAUUUUCUCUAACUUUUAAAUUUAUUGUUAGUUUUAGCUAAAAGUUAACGGUCGAACUCUCCAGCUUUAUGUGGAAAUAAACGAUGAACCAAAUUAACUUAAUUCACGCGAUUGUGUCUUAAUAUUAACAAUAAUCCUAUUACAAACGUGAAAAAUAUAAGCAUAAAAGAAAAAACCAUAGUUUUGUCAUUUUUUUGCAAGGGCGACAUUAUGUUGCAGUACUCCAAGCGGUGACGUCAAGGCGUUGUUUCCCUCUUUAGCUUCCAGUUGAAUACAUUGGUAAAAAGUGUUGUGCAUAAACGCCGUUCACUGAAUCCGUUCCUAUUUUUUGUGAACUGAAUGGAUCAGUUUUGAAGUAAUGAAUGUGAACCAGAGCAACGUUCACUCUGAGAAUGAUGAGCAACACACACAGCUCACGUUGGCGAUCAUUUGAUAGCAACACUUUUCACUGGAUAAUGUCAGGUUUUAUGGCAGUUAUUACGGUAAACAGCCUGACAGAGCAGCAUGUCUACUGCUAGUACUAGUAAUAAUAAUAAUAAUAAUAAUAAUAAUACAUUUUAUUUAAAAAGGCGCCUUUCUGGACACUCAAGGUCAUCGUACAAAAGCAUAAAAACAGUGUCAGAAAAAAUAAAAAUAAAAACAUUUAUCAUGAUUAAAAAUCAUUUAAACAAACUAGUCUGCUCCAUUCAGACAUGUCUGCUGGUAUUUCUGAUGCCGGUUUAGCAGAGUUUCAUCAACAAGUUUGAUUAACAAAGGAAGACUGGGACAGAAAAAAAAAACUCAGGUUUUAGUGCAAACUGUUCCCACCAGAACUUAUCAAAACAAGUCAACACGUCAGCCACUUCCACUUCAGAUUUAAAGCCACACGGAGUUAAACCAUCCAAGCUAUCUUGGGAAAUAUCUGCUACUGAAUGAGGAACAGAAGAAAUCAUUUUGGAUCCAGAUCUUUUCAGCAAAACCUGAAUGUUCCUGAAUGUUUCAGAAAUUCUGUGUUGCUGGUAUUACCAAUGUAUUCAACUGCUAGCUGAAACAUCAACCAACCCUGUGAUGUCAGCGCUUGGAGUACUGCAACAUGGCCGCACCCUUUCCAAAAAAUAAAACAAUGCAAUGAUUUUCUUUUAGGUUUAUUUUUCAUGUUUGUUAUAUCUUUAUUGAUAACAGUGAGACACAAUCUUGUGAAUUUUGUUUUUUUCUUCUUCCACUUUAAGGAGAAUAAACAGAGACAGGACACUUCCCUUGGCUUAGCCUCACCAACUGGAAAGGCAGUGCAAAAAGCAUAACCUGGACUGAAUACAGUUAUUUUAAGACAUUUUCACUUAAUUUUAGUUUAAGUUUUUGAAUUGCACACUUUAAAAACAAUAGAGAAAAUGUUUAAGGAGCCUAUAUAUUGUACGUGUUUGAAGAGCCGUCUGGGUUACUGCCUAACUGAGCCACAGAUAAACAGCCUCUGCAUGCCUUCAAUGCAGCCAUCUUGUAGUUGAAUUGUUUAAACCAUAAAAAGUUAAGAUCGAUUAAAAAAAAGUGUACUUGCCUUUUAUUAGAGAAGGAAAAAAAGAUGAUCUGCCAUGAAAUCAGUAUUUUUCCAUUAAAAUAAGAUAAUUAAAUGAGAUGCUCUUUAUAUAAGAUAAUGUAAAUACUCUUAUUUUAAACUUUAAUCAUCUUAUUUCUUUGGGAAAUUGUCUAAAUUACCUGCAAAAGCAGAAAAAAUAUAUAUUUAUCAGACAUAGGAAUUAAAUAAUAUAAUAAUUACAAAUGUCCUUAAUUACAAUACUUACAUUUUAUUAUGUUGUUCUCUCCGAAAUAGAAUUAUUCAUCUAUUAAUUUAUUCUUAUUUGAACAAUAAUUGCCUUACUUUGAUAUAAAUUUCUGUGUUUUUUUUUUAUUUUAUUUUUUGCUUUUACUAUUUAUUUAUAGUGUUUCACCUGUAGGAAGAGUAAUGACCUAUGUUGUAAGAUUUCAUAAAUCUGUUCAGUUUUCAAUAAAGGCUUUCAAAUAUGAAUUCCCUACAGAGAAAACAAUUUCAGAGUCUAAUCUCUUCUCCAAUUUUAACUGUGUCCAGUUUAUCCUAUGCAAAUUGCAGCAGGAUCACUGAUGUGCUGUGACAGCUUUGUACGUGGUGCAGCAGUUGUUCCCAUGGAUCUGUGAGUGGUGAUGCCAAGCAGGUUGGAUCUGGAGCCCCUAAAUCGGAUCAGAACCAGAAAAGCCUGUGGACUCAGUUUCUACUCCCCCGCUGAUCUCUGAACAGCUGUAAUGCUCUGGUUUGCACUUAAACAACUCCUCCAUGCAUAUCAGAUCUUUGCUCUAAACUAAUAAAGAUUUAAAUAUCA